AUGGAGCCGCCGUCCGCUAGCCUACCAGCUGAACCCGCCUGCCGCACAGUCGAGGCCCGGCCCGUGGGGAGGAGCAGAGCGCAAGCCGUGGAGGUGAGGGCGCUUGCCAAAGGUCACCCGGGCGGGGCCUGGGCCCUUCAGGACCGCAGGGCACAGGGGAGCGAGUGGCGACUGCGCGUUCUCGGGACAGAUGAGGACCCCACUCCUUUCAAUAUCCGGGAAGUCAACUCUCAUGCCCCCUUCCUCACCCCCCCUUUCGAAUUGCAUCAGGCACGUGCUCGCCCCCGCCGUGUGCGCGCGCGCUCCCGCCGCCUUUUGCCCGCCCGUCGCCAAGGGCUGGCCCGGCGGGCGCGCCCCCGCUGUGCUAUCCCCUCCCCUCGCCCGCCGCGUCGCGAGGCGCGCGCCCGCCCGCCGCCUGCCGCGGAUCGCGUGGUCGGCUUGGCUCGCCGCGCCUAUCCCCGUGCGUCCAUAUUGCUGCAGCCCCCGAGCCGGGAAGCCCGGGCCGCCCCGGGGGCGGGGGGGAGGGAGGGACCGGACGAGAAGCCUGCCGGGCUCGGGGUGGGGGCGCCUUACGAAGAACGGGCGGGGGGGGACGCACGCCGAGGAGGCCUGGACCGCAGAGUGGGGGGCCUUCUUCCCCCCCCGCCCCGCCAGCGGGCCUCGGAUCUACGGCGGCUGCAUCCGACCGGAGGGGUGCCGUGCCUAGCGUGAACCCCGAUCCUUCUUUGGGACUGGGGCCCAGCGCCCUAGAGGAAGGCGUCGCGGGCGCUCUGUGA